ANGACUCUCGGCAACGGAUAUCUAGGCUCUCGCAACGAUGAAGAACGUAGCGAAAUGCGAUACUUGGUGUGAAUUGCAGAAUCCCGUGAACCAUCGAGUUUUUGAACGCAAGUUGCGCCCGAAGCCUUCUGGUUGAGGGCACGUCUGCCUGGGCAUCACACAUUGU
rnacentral:rRNA from 1 species